rnacentral:lncRNA from 1 species
GAGAGUAUGACGUAGAUGCCUUAGUUGGUAAAUAUAUUGAUUUGAUGUACCAAAUUUGAUAGGACAAGAAAUCGGGCUGAUUGCAUCCAACCAUGCCAGUUUUGAUGCUAUCAUGCUAAAACAGGCAUAAAUUUCUUAUUUGGAGUUAGAAUCGCCUGUAAAACCCCAAUUCGAAAAACUCUUUUCAUGCUCUAUGUGCUUGA